rnacentral:rRNA from 1 species
GAUCAUGGCUCAGAACGAACGCUGGUAGCGUGGAUUAGGCAUGCAAGUCGAACGGGAUCGCCUGGUUAGCAAUAAUCGGGCGUGAGAGUGGCGGAUUGGGGAGGAACACGUGAGCAACCUGCCCUUGGGACGGGGAAAACCGUUGGAAACGACGGCUAAUACCGGAUGCGGCGCCCUGAGACAUCUCAGGAGCGCCAAAGGGGGCCGCAAGGCUCCCGCCCGAGGAGGGGCUCGCGCACCAUCAGCUUGUUGGCGGGGUAACGGCCCACCAAGGCUUACGGUUAGCUGGUCUGAGAGGAUGGCCAGCCCCACUGGGACUGAGAUACUGCCCAGACUCCUACGGGAGGCUGCAGUCGAGGAUCAUUCGCAAUGGGCGAAAGCCUGACGAUGCGACGCUGCGUGGAGGAUGAAGGCCCUCGGGUCGUAAACUCCUGUCAUGAGGGAAAAGGCGAGGGUACCUAAUACGUACCUUAGUUGAUGGUACCUCAAGAGGAAGGGACGGCUAACUCUGUGCCAGCAGCGGC